GACGAACGCUGGCGGCGUGCCUAAUACAUGCAAGUAGAACGCUGAAGAGAGGAGCUUGCUCUUCUUGGAUGAGUUGCGAACGGGUGAGUAACGCGUAGGUAACCUGCCUGGUAGCGGGGGAUAACUAUUGGAAACGAUAGCUAAUACCGCAUAAUAUUGACUAUUGCAUGAUAGUUGAUUAAAAGGUGCAAUUGCACCACUACCAGAUGGACCUGCGUUGUAUUAGCUAGUUGGUGGGGUAACGGCUCACCAAGGCGACGAUACAUAGCCGACCUGAGAGGGUGAUCGGCCACACUGGGACUGAGACACGGCCCAGACUCCUACGGGAGGCAGCAGUAGGGAAUCUUCGGCAAUGGACGGAAGUCUGACCGAGCAACGCCGCGUGAGUGAAGAAGGUUUUCGGAUCGUAAAGCUCUGUUGUAAGAGAAGAACGAGUGUGAGAGUGGAAAGUUCACACU
rnacentral:rRNA from 1 species